GGUAGGAUGGCUGAGUUACAGGCAGUAGAUUGUAAAUCUAUGCACGAGGGCUACCUCUCAUACCA
rnacentral:tRNA from 1 species